UCUCUUUCUCUGCACUCAAGCAAAAAGGGGGAAAGUUGGGUUUUAAAAAAAAAUCUUAAUAGCUCUAAGCAUUUUUCUCCCUCUCCACUCGCCCAUUUUCUUUUUCUGUCUCUUCAUUUACGGAAUUUUCUUUCUCCAUUUCUCUCUCAACUCCCUCUACAUUUUCCCCUUCUCCCCUUCUUCCCUUCUUUCCUUCUCCCAUUUCACUACUCACUCAGGUGAAACUAUGUACCUUACCAACACUUCCACGACACAGAAAACCAGCCUCUACUUAUUCAGGGUUUAAAUGUAUCAUGGAGGGACUUGAAUGGGGAAAUGUCAAAAUGAGGAAUAGUUAUCACAAUGAAGAUACUUGAACUCUUAUGGUGUGCGACUAAAGAUGAGGAAAUUAAAGAUGAUAGAGGACUUGCACUGGAUGGGAGAGGGACUUAACAUCAUUGCAAAUAGUAGAUAAUAAUUCAUCUUUUAUGGUUUGAAUAACUUCUUUAUUUCAAGAAAUGAUUGAAUACUACUAAUGUAAUGAAAUUUCAAUUAUGAAUGGAAGUUGUGGCCCAAUUCUAUUUCUUUGCUACCCGGCCUAGGAGGUCGAUGGUCUGCAUUGGAUUGAAGAAUUUCCCCUCUUUCUAUUGAAUAUUGAAUAAAGAAUAGAUCAUAUCUGAAUAGGUAGUGAGCCAGCGAAAGUUGCAGGCUGGAUGCCUAUUUCAA